AAGAGAAUCCCCUGGGGAUCUUGUUAAAAAUGCAGAUUCUAAUUCAGGAAGUCUAGGAUAUAGCCUAAGAAUCUGUUUCUAACCAACUCUCAGAUGAUAUCCAU
rnacentral:miRNA from 1 species